AUGGAUGGGGAGCCCCUCAAGGCCACAAUGCAACAGCUACAGAUAAAACACACAAUGGUGUCAUUGUCAGUGUAGUCACAACGGAAUGGGAAAGUUAAGAUUCAGAACUCCCUUCCUUUGCUCCCCUGAAGUUUUACACAAGACCUGCUUAUUGAUUCUUCUGCUUGGGAUUGCUUGUGCGCAGCACCACUCACAGCACCAGCCAUGGCCCAGGAGAGCCAAUAUCUCCUAUCUACUCCAGGCCGCAGUGUGACUGGAACGUGUAGCUUGCAUGGUCAGCUGGGCAGUUGCACAGAACAAUGGAGAGCUGCUAGACAAACAUUAGUAAAAUUCGUAAUAGGAUGGAGGAAUUCUGGAAACCAGCAUAAAGUGCAAGUGAUCAGACUUCAUGUGGGUAUACUGCAUGGUGAAUGGGAAGAUAAGGGAGGAAAGUUCACUCAAAACCCAGUAACAGGCCAUAGGACCAGAAUAAUGGCUGUCACCCCUCCAUGCUCAGGGGUUCCUGACCACUGAAGACAGAGGCCCCUACUCCAGCCCUCCAGUGGACUGCAUCCAAUGCUUUCCUCUACGCAGACCAGAAAGAAUAAAAAUUCACCUCAGUAACAGAAAACUGGAAUUUCACUUUAAUGUAGCUACUCUGUGGUGUGUUAGAGAGAAAAUCCAUUAUUACCAAUAGAGGAUAAGCUACUUGUGCUUUCAAAAAUUAUUUUUGGUGAGGAAC